rnacentral:rRNA from 1 species
CUACGGGACGCAGCAGUGGGGAAUAUUGGACAAUGGGGGAAACCCUGAUCCAGCAAUGCCGCGUGUGUGAAGAAGGCCUGCGGGUUGUAAAGCACUUUCGGUUGGGAGGACUGCUUCUAGCACUAAUAUUGUUGGAAGUUGACGUUACCUUCAGAAGAAGCACCGGCUAACUCCGUGCCAGCAGCCGCGGUAAUACGGAGGGUGCAAGCGUUAAUCGGAAUUACUGGGCGUAAAGCGCGCGUAGGCGGCUAGAUCAGUCGGGUGUGAAAGCCCCGGGCUUAACCUGGGAACUGCAUCCGAUACUGUCUAGCUUGAGUACAGGAGAGGAGAGUGGAAUUCCACAUGUAGCGGUGAAAUGCGUAGAUAUGUGGAGGAACACCAAUGGCGAAGGCAGCUCUCUGGCCUGACACUGACGCUGAGGUGCGAAAGCGUGGGGAGCAAACGGGAUUAGAUACCCCUGUAGUC